UACGAAGGGGGCUAGCGUUGUUCGGAAUUACUGGGCGUAAAGCGCGUGUAGGCGGGUCUUUAAGUCAGGGGUGAAAUGCCAAGGCUCAACCUUGGAACUGCCUUUGAUACUGGAGACCUUGAGUCCGGGAGAGGUGAGUGGAAUUGCGAGUGUAGAGGUGAAAUUCGUAGAUAUUCGCAAGAACACCAGUGGCGAAGGCGGCUCACUGGCCCGGAACUGACGCUGAGGCACGAAAGCGUGGGGAGCAAACAGG
rnacentral:rRNA from 1 species